CCUACGGGUGGCAGCAGUCGGGGAUAUUGCACAAUGGGGGAAACCCUGAUGCAGCGACGCCGCGUGGGUGAAGAAGCGCCUCGGCGCGUAAAGCCCUGUCAGCAGGGAAGAAAAUGACGGUAACUGAAGAAGAAGCCCCGGCUAACUCGGUGCCAGCAGCCGCGGUCAUACGUAGGGGGCAAGCGUGAUCCGGAUUUACUGGGUGUAAAGGGGGCGCAGACGGCGAUGCAAGCCAGGAGUGAAAGCCGGGGGCCCAACCCCGGGACUGCUCUUGGAACUGCGUGGCGAGAGUGCAGGAGGGGCAGGCGGAAUUCCUGGUGUAGCAGUGAAAUGCGUAGAUAUCGGGAGGAACACCGGUGGCGAAGGCGGCCUGCUGGACUGCAACUGACGUUGAGGCCCGAAGGCGUGGGGAGCAAACAGGAUUAGAUACCCCUGUAGUC
rnacentral:rRNA from 1 species